CCCCAAAAUCAGCCCCACCCAACCACCCCAAAACUGACCCCAAAAUCAGCCCCAGCAGCCCUGCCCCGCUCACCCACCCCAAAAUCAGCCCCACCAACCCUGCCCCGCUCACCCACCCCAAAAUCAGCGCCACCAACCCUGUCCUGCUCAUCCACCCCAAAAUCAGCGCCACCCAGCCCUGCCCCACCCAACCACCCCAAAACUGACCCCAAAAUCAGCCCCAGCAACCCUGCCCCGCUCACCCACCCCAAAACCGACCCCAAAUCAGCCCCCAGGGUGCCCCCGCUCCUGGCGGCGCUGUUGCUGCUCCGGGCAGCCCUUGGGGAGAGGGGCUUUAACCUCCCCCGGGCUGAGCGCUGAAAACAAAUCCUCCACCUCCAGCAGCCUGAACCCCUCGGGCAGUGCAGCUGCGAAAGGAGAGACUGCCCUUAUCUCACCUCAUCCCGGAGCUAUUUCAUGCUACCCAUCUUUGCCACCCUGGGCUCUGCCUGCCUGGCUCACUUUGCUGUCACACUCCCAGAAGCAAUUUGGCUCCUCUCCCCCUCCGAGGGCUCAGCUGUGACCUGUUAUUCCUGAUUUCAAACUUCUCCUUUCCUCUCAUAGACAGCAAAGCUCAAAGGGGAAAAAAAGGAAUAAAUAAAAAUCAACCAUGUCCUCAA